UAGGGAAUCUUCCGCAAUGGACGCAAGUCUGACGGAGCAACGCCGCGUGAGUGAAGAAGGAUUUCGGUUCGUAAAACUCUGUUGUUAGAGAAGAACAGCGCAUAGAGUAACUGUUAUGCGUGUGACGGUAUCUAACCAGAAAGCCACGGCUAACUACGUGCCAGCAGCCGCGGUAAUACGUAGGUGGCAAGCGUUGUCCGGAUUUAUUGGGCGUAAAGCGAGCGCAGGCGGUCAAUUAAGUCUGAUGUGAAAGCCCCCGGAUCAACCGGGGAGGGUCAUUGGAAACUGGUUGACUUGAGUGCAGAAGAGGAGAGUGGAAUUCCAUGUGUAGCGGUGAAAUGCGUAGAUAUAUGGAGGAACACCAGUGGCGAAGGCGACUCUCUGGUCUGUAACUGACGCUGAGGCUCGAAAGCGUGGGUAGCAAACAGG
rnacentral:rRNA from 1 species